CCGGCCACACUGGGACUGAGACACGGCCCAGACUCCUACGGGAGGCAGCAGUGGGGAAUAUUGCACAAUGGGGGAAACCCUGAUGCAGCGACNCAGCGUGCGGGAUGACGGCCCUUCGGGUGUGUAAACCGCUUUCAGCAGGGAAGAAGACCUCANGGUGACGGUACCUGCAGAAGAAGUACCGGCUAACUACGUGCCAGCAGCCGCGGUAAUACGUAGGGUACGAGCGUUGUCCGGAAUUAUUGGGCGUAAAGAGCUCGUAGGUGGUUGGUCACGUCUGCUGUGGAAACGCAACGCUUAACGUUGCGCGUGCAGUGGGUACGGGCUGACUAGAGUGCAGUAGGGGAGUCUGGAAUUCCUGGUGUAGCGGUGAAAUGCGCAGAUAUCAGGAGGAACACCGGUGGCGAAGGCGGGACUCUGGGCUGUAACUGACACUGANGAGCGAAAGCAUGGGGAGCGAACAGGAUUAGAUACCCUGGUAGUCCAUGCCGUAAACGUUGGGCACUAGGUGUGGGGGGCAUUCCACGUUCUCCGCGCCGUAGCUAACGCAUUAAGUGCCCCGCCUGGGGAGUACGGUCGCAAGGCUAAAACUCAAAGGAAUUGACGGGGGCCCGCACAAGCGGCGGAGCAUGCGGAUUAAUUCGAUGCAACGCGAAGAACCUUACCAAGGCUUGACAUACACCAGGACCGGUCUGGAAACAGUCCUUCCCCUUUGGGGGCUGGUGUACAGGUGGUGCAUGGUUGUCGUCAGCUCGUGUCGNGAGAUGUUGGGUUAAGUCCCGCAACGAGCNGCAACCCUCUGUUCUAUGUUGCCAGCACGUGAUGGUGGGAACUCAUAGGAGACUGCCGGGGUCAACUCGGAGGAAGGUGGGGAUGACGUCAAAUCAUCAUGCCCUUUAUGUCUUGGGCUUCACGCAUGCCUACAAUGGCUGGUACAGAGAGAGGCGAAACCCGUGAGGGCCAAGCGAAUCCCUUUAAAGCCAGUCUCAGUUCGGAUCGUAGUCUGCAA
rnacentral:rRNA from 1 species